AUUUUCCGGGUUGAUCCUGCCCGGACCCGACUGCUAUCAGAGUGGGACUAAGCCCAUGCGAGUCAACGCCGCAAGGCGUGGCAUACGGCUCAGUAACACGUAGUCAACAUGCCCAAGGGACGUGGAUAACCUCGGGAAACUGAGGAUAAACCGCGAUAGGCCAAGAUUUCUGGAAUGGAUCAUGGCUGAAAUCUAUAUGGCCCUUGGAUUGGACUGCGGCCGAUCAGGCUGUUGGUGAGGUAAUGGCCCACCAAACCUAUAACCGGUACGGGCUUUGAGAGAAGGAGCCCGGAGUUGGGCACUGAGACAAGGGCCCAGGCCCUAUGGGGCGCAGCAGGCGCGAAAACUCUGCAAUAGGCGAAAGCUUGACAGGGUUACUCUGAGUGAUGUCCGCUAAGGGCAUCUUUUGGUACCUCUAAAAAUGGUGCAGAAUAAGGGGUGGGCAAGUCUGGUGUCAGCCGCCGCGGUAAUACCAGCACCCCGAGUGGUCGGGACGAUUAUUGGGCCUAAAGCAUCCGUAGCUUGUCCUGCAAGUCUUCCGUUAAAUCCACCUGCUCAACAGAUGGGCUGCGGGAGAUACUACAGGGCUAGGAGGCGGGAGAGGCAAGCGGUACUCAGUGGGUAGGGGUAAAAUCCUCUGAUCCACUGAAGACCACCAGUGGCGAAGGCGGCUUGCCAGAGCGCGCUCGACGGUGAGGGAUGAAAGCUGGGGGAGCAAACCGGAUUAGAUACCCGGGUAGUCCCAGCUGUAAACGAUGCAGACUCGGUGAUGGGUUGGCUUCGGGCCAACCCAGUGCCGCAGGGAAAGCCGUUAAGUCUGCCGCCUGGGGAGUACGGUCGCAAGACUGAAACUUAAAGGAAUUGGCGGGAAU
rnacentral:rRNA from 1 species